rnacentral:misc_RNA from 1 species
AUAAGCAGUUUCGCGCACCCUUGCUGACGCGUGUGUGCCCCCUGCGUAGCCUACACCUAGCAGACAGUGAGAAAGAUAGAGAGAGAGAGCUGCACAGUGGCCAGCAGCACUGCCAACUGCAUCACCAUCACUUCCCAGCACCACCACAGUAGAAGUGCUGUUAGACACGCAUACGCAUACACGUGUGCACCUACACACGCACACGAACGCUUCCUCUGCUUUCCUUGUUUUCUUUUAGUUGCAAAAAAAAAACGUACUAUUCCUUUGCGAAGGGUGGCGAGCAAAGCCGUCUCGCACCUCUGCCCGUGUACUGCUCUUCUUUUUUGGCGCAGUGCCGAGCCGCCUUCUCCUUUCCUUAUUAGUUCUCUUCGUCUAUUUUAUCAGCGCUUGCCCCUGCCACACCCCUCGAGUCCAUGGUGCAAUUUACCGAUAUGUGGAUCACGGACGAUCCACUGCUGCGGCAGAUCCAGAUUGUAGAGGUGGUCCUCACCCACUGCGCCUCGGUGCUGUGGAGGCACAACGAGGAGAAGCUGAAAAGUGCUCCGGAGUGGGCGGCAAAACUUCGUGCUUUGCUCAAAACCAAGGCGAAGAGACUCGGCGGCGACAGCAGCUGCCGGUCACCGGAGUCGUGCGCGAGCCAACGGUCAAUGACGCAGCAGAAGAAACACAAUGGCCUCGCCGCGGCCUCGGCGGAUGCGAUUGUAUACCAGAAGAACUCAAAGGAAGACUAUCCGCCGCAGAACACGCCCACUCCGCAGCUACUGUCCUCGCAGCAGAGCUUUCAAGUCCCCCUUUCGCACAAGCAUGCCACUGCCGGUGCGGCCCUCCCCGGCGCGAUUCCGACAACACAGGGCGGCAGCGUCUUCGCUGACGAGCCGCACAGCGCGACGCACACUAAUUUAAACACCUUUAGCGAGAGCAGCACAUGCAGUAGCACGAGCCGGCUGCACUAUCCCGAGGUCGGUGCAGGCAACAACCGCGUGCGCCACUCCCCCGCCGGGCCAUUGCCGUCCGUCACACCCGACGUAUUGCUCUCGUCUUGCCGAAGCACCGAAGAACACUUAGAGGAGCUCGGCGCGCCACCGACAGCCGCGACGACGCGGCACAACGAGGUGGCUGCGGUAAGGGAGAGGAGCUCACCACCGAUUGAGCGCAGCAACACUCCCGAGCUCCCUUCCGCGCCCCUGCAGAUGAAGCGCUUGUCGGGCGGCAUCACCAAUGAGCUCUUCCAUGUCUACGACGAAGACGACCCAUCCGCAUCGGUGGUGGUGCGCGUCUUUGGCAAGGAGACGGACCGCGUCAUCUCGCGAGAGAGCGAGCUCUUCUACCAGUCUCUCUUCAUCCCCACCUACGUCCACGGCAGCAACUUCCUCGUGUACGAUUACCUGGACGGCUACUACACGCUGCCGUACCAGGACAUGUCGGCGGAGGCGAUGCCGAUCGCGCGCGCCAUCGCGGCAUUCCAGGUUCGGGCCACGCGCGCCGCCCUGCGCGAUCACGGCCAUCCGCUGCUGCGCGACUCGCAGAACAAGGACUACUGGAAGAUUGUCGACAACCAAAUGCUGGCAGCUGAGGGGAGCACGACGAGUAGCCACGACACCUACAAGGACGAGUCCCGAUUUGACCGCGAGUCGAACUACUUGAUCGGCUCGCUGACCAAGUGGGUGGACCUCGUGCUGUCGCAAGAGAUCGUCGACAGAGUGCGCGAGGACAAGCGCGAGAGCUUUCUCAUGACAGGGCGCAGCCUGCAGUCGGCCUGUGCGUGGAUGCUGUCGAUGCUGGAGCGCCAGAAGGCUUACUUGCCGGAGGGCGUCUGCCACAACGAUCUGCUGAGCGCCAACGUGAUGAUCCACAAGGUGCGAAAAGAUGUGCGGGUGAUCGACUUUGACUACACAAAGCGCAGCUUCCUGCUGUACGACGUUGCCAACCACUUCAACGAGUACCCUGGGCUCGACUGCGACUACGACACGUACUUCCCGUCCGAUGCGCACAUGUCCGCUUUCAUCGCCGAGUACCGCCGCGGUAUGCGGGAUGCACUCGAGGCGGCCUGGGCGGAGAACUCCAGCCCCACCGAUUGCGCUUCUCGCGAGUACGAGAUCUUUCCCAACGCGCGGGAGCUGUUCUGGAGCGACAGAGAGGAAGCGGAGGCGCAGGUCGUGGUGCACUGGACUCGACUCGCGAAGCUUCUCACCUUGGCUUCGCACCUGUCGUGGAGUGUCUGGUCGCUUCUGCAGGAGGCUGUGUCUGCCCUGGAUGUCGACUUUCUGAACUACGCCCAGGUUCGCUACAACCGCUACCUUGCCGUGCGGGCCGAGUGCUCAGAGAACCUGUGAUGUAUAGUGAUGCUGAGCGGAGGAGCAGCAUGCGCCGAGGAUAAAGAGGAAAGACAAGCGGCCGGUGCGUCCCGCUGCACGCCUUCUUCUGUUCGCCCAUCAUGAUGCUCCUCCUCCUCGCCCCCUUCCCCUGUGCCUUCCGUGCGGAUGCGUAGCCGUGCUGUGCAUAGCCAUACCGAGAGGCAGUAGGAAUUCAGCUUCGAUGUGCGUCGAGAAUCCGACAUAACAACUAUUUCGACACAGACAAAGGGAAAACCAAGGAUAAUUGCCUGCUCACCACAUAACCGUGCCGCCGUUUCUUCGGUGGCGUGACGUAUGCUGACAGCCAGGGUGCUGAUCACGAAAGAGGUGAUACGUGUGGCCGUCACUCUCUUCCUGUUCGGCCUCGUCGUAGGCUUGCGUUGUUCGUCGUUCGUUGUCAGUGGUGGUUUUCGCCAUGACAUCCUUCGUGAGUAUGUCAUGCGUGCAUGUUUGGAUGUGUCUGCUUUCUCCUUUCCAUCCCCGACACGCACCCGAAGUUAAGACACCGUGCUAGCACUUUGUGCUCGGUAACGCGCGCGGGCUGGUAUACGGACGCGUGUCAGUGUGUGCCUCAGCGCACCGCCCCCCCCCUCCUCCUCUCCCGUUCUCUCUGUGAUGAAGCUGGCUGUAAUGCUUUGUGGGAGAAUGGGUCCCUGUAAGACGUGCGUGCCUGCCCGCCUCCCUCCCUGUGCACCACCAGCCCUCCCCCUUCCUCGUGCUUUCGCUAUCCGUCUCUCUCUCUGUGUCCCUGUCACCGUCGAUCUGUGUGGCGGCUGCAAAGGCGGGAGAGAGAGGCGGCGCACGUGCCCGGAGAAUGAGAGUGCGCACCGUCGCUGUUAACAAAGUCAUCCCCGGCCAUCGUACGCCGGUUUCUACGCGAGAAGGCGAGCAGAGGGACGCUUCGCGGAAUAUACACCGAACGAAAAAAAAACAAACCUAGGCUUUGCUUUUACCUUCGACUCCCUCGCCCGGAUGAAUGGGAAGGGUGUGGAGGGAGGAGGGUGGGCACCGCAGUGCGCGGUAUCCAGUGCCCAGUACUCCCCGUGCUCUCCCCCCUUGAUGAGGAAGCCAGGCAGCCUCCCUCUCUCUCCGUCCCCCCAUUUCCCCGUCCCCUGCCAAAUGCCGAACCUCUUCUGGUGGUGACAGGGUCAGGCACCCGCGACGUAGGGAGGUGAGAGCGACUCACUGCUACGGAUGUCGGCGGCCAGGCCCUGGAUGGCGUGGCGUGGGAGCGACCUGCGACAGCGAACACGCUUGUGCCAUCCAUGUGCUAGGCAGAGCGUCAUGGUGACUCGAACGCAUCCCAUCUGGCCCUCGCACUGGCCACUGGUGGUAGGCAGCCUGCGUGCCGCCCCGAGGCGGGAUGCACCAAGGGUGGCGACCGGCACGGUGGGGGAGCGGCUGUGCGGCUGCCUGCGACGCGUGUGCUGAGGGCAGAGGUUUGGGGCAGAGGCCGUGCUCAGAUGGCUGAGUCGGGUGCACUGCUGCAACGCGCGUGUCUACGUCUGCUCCGCACCACGCGGAUGGGGCCCAUGGUCGGGCCGGGGGCCGAGUGCCGCUUCGCUCAGGUCACAUGGCAGAGAGUCGGCACACGUUGGUACAAGCACAUUGUUUUUUUAAUGUUCAAGGCACCAAGCAAGCCAGAGCACCGAUUUCUUCUGCUGCUCAGUGCUCCUUAUCCCCCCAUCUCGUGUACUCUCUGUGCGGUCUCUCGCGCCGUCUCCUUGCGUGCCUCGCGGGGCUAGUUGUACGGUGAAGAAGAUGUGCUUGUGUGUAUGUGGGAGGAAGGAGGGACUGUGCGCUGCAGGAACACGUGUGCGCAGGGUGGAUCGGUGUGUCAAG